rnacentral:rRNA from 1 species
GACAGAGGGUGCAAACGUUGUUCGGAAUUACUGGGCGUAAAGCGCGUGUAGGCGGCCCUGCAAGUCGGGUGUGAAAUCCCACGGCUCAACCGUGGAAGUGCACUCGAAACUGCAGGGCUAGAGUCCUGGAGAGGAAGGUGGAAUGCUUGGUGUAGAGGUGAAAUUCGUAGAUAUCAAGCGGAACACCGGUGGCGAAGGCGGCCUCUGGGCCAACACUGACGCUCAUGCACGAAAGCGUGGGGAGCAAACAGG